UGUUCGAAAGGGAAGACUGAUAUAUCGGUGAGUGGUUUCCAUAAUUUUUCUGCGGACAACCAGACAGCUUGCCAGUAUUAUCCCGACUCCCAGGACCAUUUGUUGGCGUGUAUCACGUGGUGUCAAGAGGACUUCUGUAACGGACCAUUGAAAUAUAUCAAAAUGGUGAAAGAAUAUACUGGAACCAGUUCCUGUUCUUUACUUUAUACACAUAAACGUAUCUAUAUAUACCUUGUAUUUCUGAUAUCAGGAAUACUUUUACUAUGAAAAGUUUAUAUUUUUGUUCACCGAGUAGCCAAUAUUUUCUCCAUAAAAUAUAUUUCAUUGUUUGUUUACUAAAGUAGCUUCCAAGUCUUAAUUUUGCUAUUAUGAAACUUUAUUAUUAUGGACAACAAAUCAGCUUAUAUAGACUUUAAAUGUUUCUGUUUCUUGCAGUUCAACCUGUUGAUUUGUUUUAAGUAUGUGGUAGUUAAGACCCAGGAAGAGUUUAACAAUAAUAAAAGAGGGCCUUUUUAGUUAUAGAUCCCUUCUAAUCUAGACUAUAUUUUGUUGUAAAGUGAAAUAGCAAGCCAUUUUGAUUAAACAUCGUUCAAGAAAUCCAUCAGUUUCUGACUUGUUUUAUUACAUAACAUUUUUGAAAAAGUUUUAUCAUUAUGUCACAAAAGAGAUAACAUUAUUACUAUGCCCUGAAAAUUGCUGAAUCACACCGAAAAUAUGUUAUAUCACCCUCCUGUAUAAAAAUUACGUCCGGUUCGAAGUUUAGCAAAGCAAAUGUAAAUAGUCAACUUGAGGCAAAAACUCUAGUAUGUCGCCCUCGAAGCCAUGUAAUUUCUGUUUAAUGUCGAAUUGUGUAAUCUUCUCGACUUUUCUGGGACGCUUGAAUAAAAAUUUUCGAUUUAACAUAUCCCCUUUCUGGAAACAUAAUCAUAGAGACAUUUGUGAGUAUUCAUCUUGAAUGUGUUUAUGUGAUAUUUGCAUACGACUUCACUCUUUUUUUAAUUAAAUAACAUUGAAAUUUAUACUCUUAUGUAGUGGACACUUGAUAUUUGAACUUUUAUAAGAGAAGCCUUUAUUCGUUAGGAUUCAUAAUGAUCAAGGUGACAUGUGUAGAAACCAUUUUAUAAUCGACUUGUAUUGAUUGUUGUACUUUUUGUCGCAUAACUUAUUUUGUAAUCUCAAAAUGCAUACAUUUUAAUGUUUUGAUAUAUUUUCAUUAUAUUUAAUUAUCAAUCAUUCUGUUGGUUUAAAAAAAAAAUUAAUCAUACACAUUUUUUAUAUUAAAUUAUGAUGAAUAGUUUCUGAAUUAAAUUAUAAUAGUCUUCUUUGACAACGGGUCUAAUGAAAUGUGAGUGAUUUUUUUUCAUAUUUAAUUUUGCAUAAAAAUAAAUUUUAUAAAGUUUAAAAAGUAUAGGAAUUGGGGAAGGUUUUAGCCUCUUUGUAACGUACUAGUAAUAGCUAGAUUAAUGUAGAUUCUGUAUUUUGAUAACAAAUAAAAUCAACUAAUUC
rnacentral:misc_RNA from 1 species